GACGAACGCUGGCGGCGUGCUUAACACAUGCAAGUAGAGCGGAGCGGCGAACGGGUGAGUAACGCGUGAGUAACUGCCCACCUCUCUGGGAUGACAGUUGGAAACGGCUGCUAAUACCGGAUCGUGGGGGAUGAGUCGCGUCAUAUCAGCUUGUUGGGGGGGUAGUGGCCUACAAAGGAGACGAAUGGUAGCCGGCCUGAGAGGGCGACCGGCCACAUUGGGCUGACAUACGUCCCAAACUCCUACGGGAGGCAGCAGUGGGGAAUAGUGCACAAUGGGGGAAACCCUGAUGCAGCAACGCCGCGUGCGGGAUGACGGCCUUCGGGGUGUAAACCGCUUUCAGCCAUGACGCGGUAGUGGCAGAAGAAGCACCGGCUAACUACGUGCCAGCAGCCGCGGUAAUUC
rnacentral:rRNA from 1 species